CGUCUCUGCAGUCUCUGGGCGAAAAAAAGCAGGAGUUUUUGUGAGUGGUCAGGCAGGGAACAAUGACAGUGGAGUGCGCAUGCACGAGACGACUCCAUGUUUUUCUUUCAGUCUAUGAAUGAAUAUAACGUCGCCCAGUUGGAAUAUUAUCGCUAUUUUACGAGAAAAAUUGCAUAAAAAUAGAUUAGAAACAGCGUUUGACAUGCUUGAAAGUGCUGGGAUGGAAUAUUUUGAAUUUUUUUGUCACGAAAUGCACCCGCGCGUCACCCUUCGGAUACUGACAUGAACGCACGAACAAAACAGAGCUAUUUGGAUAUAACUAUGGAUUAUUUCGAACCAAAACAACAUUUGUUGUUGAAGUAGAAAUCCAUGGAGUGCAUUCUGACAAAGAACAGCAAAGGACAAUGACCCAACACAUCUCCAGGCAGGCUGUGUAAGGGCUAUUUGACCAAGAAGGAGAGUGAUGGAGGGCUGCAUCAGAUGACCUGACCUCCACAAUCACCUGACCUCAACCCAAUUG
rnacentral:lncRNA from 1 species